CCUACGGGAGGCAGCAGUGGGGAAUAUUGCACAAUGAGCGCAAGCCUGAUGCAGCCAUGCCGCGUGUGUGAAGAAGGCCUUCGGGUUGUAAAGCACUUUCAGCGGGGAGGAAGGCGGUGAGGUUAAUAACCUCAUCGAUUGACGUUACCCGCAGAAGAAGCACCGGCUAACUCCGUGCCAGCAGCCGCGGUAAUACGGAGGGUGCAAGCGUUAAUCGGAAUUACUGGGCGUAAAGCGCACGCAGGCGGUCUGUCAAGUCGGAUGUGAAAUCCCCGGGCUCAACCUGGGAACUGCAUUCGAAACUGGCAGGCUAGAGUCUUGUAGAGGGGGGUAGAAUUCCAGGUGUAGCGGUGAAAUGCGUAGAGAUCUGGAGGAAUACCGGUGGCGAAGGCGGCCCCCUGGACAAAGACUGACGCUCAGGUGCGAAAGCGUGGGGAGCAAACAGGAUUAGAUACCCCUGUAGUC
rnacentral:rRNA from 1 species